UACGUAGGGUACGAGCGUUGUCCGGAAUUAUUGGGCGUAAAGAGCUCGUAGGUGGUUGGUCACGUCUGCUGUGGAAACGCAACGCUUAACGUUGCGCGGGCAGUGGGUACGGGCUGACUAGAGUGCAGUAGGGGAGUCUGGAAUUCCUGGUGUAGCGGUGAAAUGCGCAGAUAUCAGGAGGAACACCGGUGGCGAAGGCGGGACUCUGGGCUGUGACUGACACUGAGGAGCGAAAGCAUGGGUAGCGAACAGGAUUAGAUA
rnacentral:rRNA from 1 species